UACAGAGACUGCAAGCGUUAUUCGGAAUCACUGGGCGUAAAGGGCGCGUAGGCGGCGUUUUAAGUCGGGGGUGAAAGCCUGUGGCUCAACCACAGAAUGGCCUUCGAUACUGGGACGCUUGAGUAUGGUAGAGGUUGGUGGAACUGCGAGUGUAGAGGUGAAGUUCGUAGAUAUUCGCAAGAACACCGGUGGCGAAGGCGGCCAACUGGACCAUUACUGACGCUGAGGCGCGAAAGCGUGGGGAGCAAACAGG
rnacentral:rRNA from 1 species